rnacentral:rRNA from 1 species
AGUGAACGCUGGCGGUAUGCCUAACACAUGCAAGUCGAACGGCAGCACAGUAAGAGCUUGCUCUUACUGGUGGCGAGUGGCGGACGGGUGAGGAAUACAUCGGAAUCUACUUUUUCGUGGGGGAUAACGUAGGGAAACUUACGCUAAUACCGCAUACGACCUACGGGUGAAAGCAGGGGAUCUUCGGACCUUGCGCGAUUGAAUGAGCCGAUGUCGGAUUAGCUAGUUGGCGGGGUAAAGGCCCACCAAGGCGACGAUCCGUAGCUGGUCUGAGAGGAUGAUCAGCCACACUGGAACUGAGACACGGUCCAGACUCCUACGGGAGGCAGCAGUGGGGAAUAUUGGACAAUGGGCGCAAGCCUGAUCCAGCCAUACCGCGUGGGUGAAGAAGGCCUUCGGGUUGUAAAGCCCUGUUGUUGGGAAAGAAAAGCAGCAGGUUAAUACCCCGCUGUUCUGACGGUACCCAAAGAAUAAGCACCGGCUAACUUCGUG